UCUUUAUAAUGAGUUUAGUUCCUCCACCGAAUGUGUACCACAGUGAUACAUUCCAAUGAAGCCGUCGUACAAAAACCUCUGUUACACUCCAGUGAUGAACCACACUCACACACACACACACACACACACUCAGUCCUCUGGAUAUGUAUCAGAUGUAUCCAGUCAGAAUCUGGGUGUAUAAAAUGGUGUGAGUGUAAUAUUGGUCUGUAAUAUUUAGAGUGUUUUCUUUGUUGUGUUUUAGGUUCAGGAGGGGUUCUAGAUAUUUCCAUAGAGAGGUUCCACUUUGCAUUAUCAGCCCAUGCUUCAGUGCUCUGCUAGUGUUUAUAGUCCUGUGAGUUUAACACUUCAUGACUGAGAGCUGCUGCCCAGCAACUUCACCCACAGCAACCAUGACUUUCUUCUCCAUCUUCAUCUGGACUCUCACUCUCUGGAUUCAGGAAUCCAGUGGUCAGGUGACUGUGGAUCAGACUCCUACAGUGAAAUCAGUUUCUCCAGGAGAAUCACUUUCUAUCAGCUGUAGAUUCAGUUCUGCACCAUACGGUUCUACUCCUGAAGUCUCCUGGUAUCAUCAGAAACCUGUAGGACCUCCUAAACUCCUGAUCUACUCUACUAACAGCAGACAGUCAGGAAUUUCAGCUCGUUUCAGUGGUAGUGGAUCUGGAUCUUCCUUCAUUCUGACCAUCAGUAACAUCCAGCCUGAAGAUGCAGCAGAUUAUUACUGUCAGAGUGGCCAUGUGAUCAGUAGUAGAGCCGUGUUCACACAGUGUUACAGAGCUGUACAAAAACCCCCUCACUCACACACUGCACUGCUGCACCUACUGCAGGAGCUACACAAUACGGAACUAAGACAUGGCGCGGACAAGGACACGCUGGACACGCUGAACAUGCAACUCUGCCUGCCCGCAGGCUACAGUCAGUACCCUUUCACCAAUGGCGGACGAGCUACCUACCUCUGA